GACAUAAAAAUCAUAUAAUUUCAAAUUACUAUGAGUAAGUUAUGAUAGAUAAAAUAAAAAUAAUAGAAAAGUUAAGUGAAUGAUUUUUACCUCAAGGAUAAUUUGCUUAAGAAAUUAGGAGUUUGAACCUCACCAAGGCUCACAAGUAGUAUUUAUUAGUUUUCUAAAGUUGCCUUGAGGCCUUAGUCUUAUCUUCCUACCUAUAUCCAAGGUACUACAAUCCAUAUGAGAAUUAAGAACCUUUCUUCCUACAAGGACUAAACUAGUUGCUGGUCUUACUAUUUUCUACUGAUAAAACUAUUUUUUUUUUAUAUUUUUGACUUCACCGUGGUAUC
rnacentral:lncRNA from 1 species